CACCUGCUGAUUUAAAAGGAGGCGACGCCAUGACGACAGAAAUGCAGGAGAUCGCCAUCACGGAGGAGAAGCCAUUACUCACGGGUCAGGCUGAAGCCAAGGUCAGAGACGAUGCCACACACACACACACACACACACACAUGGAUAAACAUGCAUGGCAGAAUUACUUGCACGGUCGUCAGUAUGUAACGUACAUAAUCUGAACCCGUGGAUAAAUGGCAGAGUGUGUCUCCAUGUGUCUGUGUCCCAGAAGACCAGAAAAACAAGGGUUGACUUGUGUGUGUGUGUGUGUGUGUGUGUGUGUGUGUGUGU